UCAACUGUGUGGCACAUUUUUUUUCCUACACGGUAUAUUUUGGUGCCUAAAGCUGUGACGGACGUAGUCGAUCCCCUGUUAACCAAACCAGCAGCAGUUUGGUACAGGCUCCAAAGGAGUCAAAACAGGGGCCUCCAGAACCAGCAUAAAUCAGAAAAGAAGGAGGCUUCAAGGCUAUGACCAUCAACAGCAUCUGCAACUCGACAACAUAAUGAACAGCCUGUCUGGAGACAGUGAAGGAAUCCAAUAAGGAGUCAGCAGGUGUCAGUCCAGAACCACUAUUGGACCAAAGGGCAUGUGGAAGACGAGCGAAGAGAGUGUGAAGAGUGCGUGAGGGGCAGGUGAAUAGUCUUUUUGCUUUCAGAGUCCCUGAGUUGGACAACAGAAGAACAACUUCCCAAAGAAAAGGAAGUGAAAGCUCUUUACUUGCAGGUACAGUUUUGCAGGCAGCAUCUGCGAUCUGUUUUCCUUCAUCACUGUAUCAGACUCCUACAACAACAAAGUUUCUGCUCAGAGAAGAAACAGAACCAAAAAUCCUUUUACGCUGUAACAGCCGACUGAAGACUGAGACAUCUGAUCUUUGAAACACUGUUAAACUUUGGUGAGACAUAAGCAUUGCUCUUUCAUUUCUAGUGGAAACUUGUCCUUCUGACACCUUCAUGAGAAAUUGUGGAUGUAUUAUCAUGGUACCAUGGACGGUCCAACAAUUUUUAUUGGAAAACAGUGAGUCACAGUAAUUCAGGAGAAGACAAAGAUGUCAAAAACCUAAACGAAAGUGGACAAUGAUGUUGUUUACCCGAAUUAACUGGAUUUGAAAUACAGCCAGCAUAGAAGCUGAAUUAAAGUUUUGACAAGUCACCCACUGGAAUAUGACAGCCAUGCUGCAAUGAAAGGAACCCCACACGGCAUUUCUAACCACAUGUGAAACUGCACAAAGGGUGACGUCUGCUGCCUGUAGUUCACAAGCCUCCAGAAGAACAUAGCCAAGUGGUAAUCUGAUGCUCAGAUUUCAUUCAUGCACUUCAGGUGAAAAAAUGCUUACCCUGCACUGGCAUAUUCCUGUCUGCUUCAAGAGCAGCAAAGAGCAGAAGUAUUGCAGUUCAGCAGCUAAUACCUUGUAACACUAUGAAAAUUAAAGAACUGACUUUAUUGGAAUAUAAACAUUGCCCAUAAUAUAGGGUAAGAUAUAAUGUAUUGCAUUAUACUAAACUGUUAAGUAUAAUUCAAGGUAAUGUAUCUUUAGCUGUAAGAGGUUGUUUAGACUUGUUAUAUCAUAACAAAUAAAACAAAGGAGCUCUGUCAACCAGUGUAUAUUGGCUUAAUGGCUUGUAUAAGUUCUACUUAAAUCAUCAAGUAAAGUAAAAGACUAGCUAUUAUGGCUUUUAUACAUGGGGAAGAAAACAUUUCUUCUUUAAUCUAUAUCUUUGCAGAGCAGUGUGCCCCAACUGCUCAAAUGCACACUGUUUCAGAAAUAAUUGGGCCCUAAAUCUACAAGAUACUUCUGGCUUGAAAUUGUAUCAUUUUUAAGUUAGAUAAAUGUUGUUUCUUCAAAGACGUUCUUCUACUUCAGUUGUAGAAUUAGACACUUUGCAGUUUUGUUCUUGUGUUUAUAAAAGGCACAGUCAAUUUUUUCAUAUGUAAAGACAGUAAAACGUCGACAAAUUCUGCUCUUGGAUGUCUACAUAUUUUUACUUUCUGUUGGUGAAAAUAGUGUGGAAAGGGUAUAAAUGUCAUGAGAGUCUGUAGGAAAUACACUGAAGUCAUUUAGGCUCUUUGUUCAGUGAGACUAGUUUAUUCUAUUUUACAAGAAACAAGUUGACUAUGGGAGACAUAGGCAUAAGGGUCAGUCAAAAAUGGAUGAUCAGAAAUAGCUGCUCGGAUGUUAAUGUACUUGGGGGGGUUAAAACACAAAUGUAGUGUCACUGCUUAUAAACCUGCAGGUGUUUCAGCCUUGUAUUGCAUAAUCUUGAAUCCAUACUUCAAGGAUGAAAUUCUGUCCUUUGUGCCAUUGAUUUCCAUGGGCUUGUAGUUUCUCCAAAGACGAAUAAUGUUGGACCAAAACGGUGACGUUAAGCAGUAAAGUGU